GACGGGGGGUCCUAGCGUUGUUCGGAAUCAUUGGGCGUAAAGCGUGUGCAGGUGGUUUUGAAAGUUGGAUGUGAAAGCCUUGGGCUCAACCCAAGAAGUGCAUUCAAAACUGCAAAACUUGAGUAUGGAAGAGGGUUGUGGAGUUCCUGGUGUAGUGGUGAAAUACGUAGAUAUCGGGAGGAACACCGGUGGCGAAGGCGGCAGCCUGGUCCUAUACUGACACUCAUACACGAAAGCGUGGGGAUCAAACAGG
rnacentral:rRNA from 1 species